rnacentral:rRNA from 1 species
UACGUAGGGGGCAAGCGUUGUCCGGAAUCAUUGGGCGUAAAGAGCGUGUAGGCGGCUCGAUAAGUCUGCUGUGAAAGUCCAGGGCUCAACCCUGGAAGGCCGGUGGAAACUGUCGGGCUAGAGUCCGGAAGAGGCGAGUGGAAUUCCCGGUGUAGCGGUGAAAUGCGCAGAUAUCGGGAGGACACCAAUGGCGAAGGCAGCUCGCUGGGACGGUACUG